rnacentral:rRNA from 1 species
UACGUAGGGUGCAAGCGUUGUCCGGAAUUAUUGGGCGUAAAGAGCUUGUAGGCGGUUUGUCGCGUCUGCCGUGAAAAUUCGAGGCUCAACCUCGAACUUGCGGUGGGUACGGGCAGACUAGAGUGUGGUAGGGGAGACUGGAAUUCCUGGUGUAACGGUGAAAUGCGCAGAUAUCAGGAGGAACACCGAUGGCGAAGGCAGGUCUCUGGGCCACUACUGACGCUGAGAAGCGAAAGCAUGGGGAGCGAACAGG